UACGUAGGCGGAAAUCUAAGUCAGUGGUGAAAUCCCGCAGCUCAACUGUGGAACUGUCAUUGAUACUGGUUUUCUUGAAUAUAGUUGAGGUAGGCGGAAUGUGUAAUGUAACGGUGAAAUGCUUAGAUAUUACACAGAACACCGAUUGCGAAGGCAGCUUACUAAACUAUGAUUGACGCUGAGGUACGAAAGCGUGGGGAGCGAACAGGAUUAGAUACCCUGGUAGUCC
rnacentral:rRNA from 1 species